ACGGGAGAAGCAUCGGAAAACGGACUAGAAGAUAUCGAUCGCAUCCUAGAGAGGAUUGAGGACAGCACUGGGUUGAACCGUCCCGGCCCAGCUCCCCUGAGCUCCAGGAAGCACGUUCUCUACGUGGAGCACAGACACUUGAAUCCAGACACAGAACUGAAAAGGUAUUUUGGUGCCCGGGCAGUCCUGGGGGAGCAAAGGCCACGGCAGAGACAACGCGUGUACCCCAAGUGCACAUGGCUGACCACCCCUAAAAGCACCUGGCCCCGGUACAGCAAACCAGGUUCUGCUCCAGACGAGCCCUUACCACGUUGACUCGCUCCUGCAGCUCAGCGAUGCCUGCCGCUUUCAAGAGGAUCAGGAGAUGGCUCGAGACCUCGUAG
rnacentral:sRNA from 1 species